rnacentral:rRNA from 1 species
UACGUAGGUGGCAAGCGUUGUCCGGAAUUAUUGGGCGUAAAGCGCGCGCAGGCGGUCCUUUAAGUCUGAUGUGAAAGCCCACGGCUCAACCGUGGAGGGUCAUUGGAAACUGGGGGACUUGAGUGCAGAAGAGGAAAGCGGAAUUCCACGUGUAGCGGUGAAAUGCGUAGGGAUGUGGAGGAACACCAGUGGUGAAGGCGGCUUUCUGGUCUGUAACUGACGCUGAGGCGCGAAAGCGUGGGGAGCAAACAGG